GAUGAAGAACGUAGCGAAAUGCGAUAAGUAAUGUGAAUUGCAGAAUUCAGUGAAUCAUCGAAUCUUUGAACGCACAUUGCGCCCCUUGGUAUUCCGAGGGGCAUGCCUGUUCGAGCGUCAUUACACCACUCAAGCUAUGCUUGGUAUUGGGCGUCGUCCUUAGUUGGGCGCGCCUUAAAGACCUCGGCGAGGCCACUCCGGCUUUAGGCGUAGUAGAAUUUAUUCGAACGUCUGUCAAAGGAGAGGAACUCUGCCGACUGAAACCUUUAUUUUUCUAGGUUGACCUCGGAUCAGGUAGGGAUACCCGCUGAACUUAAGCAUAUCAAUCAGCGGAGGA
rnacentral:misc_RNA from 1 species